UCACUAAAACUAUCACUAUCAUUGUGUACAUCACUAACACUAUCACUAUAAUUGUGUACAUCCCUAAAACUAUCACUUUCAUUGUGUAUGUCACUAAACCUAUCACUAUCACUAUUGUGUACUUCACUAACACUAUCACUAUUAUUGUGUACAUAACUAAAACUAUAACUAUCAUUGUGCUCAUCACUAAAACUAUCACUAUCAUUGUGUACAUCACUAACACUAUCACUAUAAUUGUGUACAUCCCUAAAACUAUCACUUUCAUUGUGUAUGUCACUAAACCUAUCACUAUCACUAUUGUGUACUUCACUAACACUAUCACUAUCAUUGUGUACAUCACUAACAGUAUCACUAUCAUUGUGUACAUCACUAACACUAUCA